rnacentral:rRNA from 1 species
GGGACCCCAACGUGGGACAAACGAAGAGACAAUAGGCUGAGAGGUCAUGAGGAGAGCUCUACGAGCUCACGAACUCAGUUAUCCCAGACUUCCAAGAAAAGUUCCGGCGUGAGUCACUUUACUGACCGUACCGCAAACCGACACAGGUGGGCAAGGAGAAAAUCCUAAGGCGUUUGAGAGAAGCCUCUCUAAGGAACUCGCAUAAUGACACCGUAACUUCGGGAUAAGGUGUGCCGACGGUGGGUGAUGUGCUUGCGCACAAAGCCGAAGUCGGUUGCAGUGAAACGGGGGUAGCGACUGUUUACCAAAAACACAGCACUCUGCAAACUCGCAAGAGGAAGUAUAGGGUGUGAUGCCUGCCCGGUGCCGGAAGGUUAAGAGGAGGAGUCAGCCGCAAGGCAAAGCCCCGAAUCGAAGCCCCGGUAAACGGCGGCCGUAACAAUAACGGUCCUAAGGUAGCGAAAUUCCUUGUCGGGUAAGUUCCGACCUGCACGAAUGGCAUAACGACUUCCCCACUGUCUCGGAGAGGCCCUCAGCGAAGUAGCACUAGGGGUGAAGAUACCCUUUACCCGCGGCAGGACGGAAAGACCCCGUGAACCUUUACUGUAACUUGGCACUGAUUUUCGGGUUAGCUUGCGUAGGAUAGGUGGGAGGCUAUGAAGCCGGGAUUCCGGUCUCGGCAGAGCCAACCUUGAAAUACCACCCUGGCUAACCUAAAAAUCUAACUCGCUUCCGUAAUCCGGAAGGAGGACAAUGCCUGGUGGGCAGUUUGACUGGGGCGGUCGCCUCCCAAAAAGUAACGGAGGCGCGCGAAGGUUCCCUCAGCCUGAUUGGAAACCAGGCGCAGAGUGUAAUGGCAUAAGGGAGCUUGACUGCGAGACAAACAAGUCGAGCAGGUGCGAAAGCAGGUCAUAGUGAUCCGGUGGUCCUGUAUGGAAAGGCCAUCGCUCAACGGAUAAAAGGUACUCCGGGGAUAACAGGCUUAUCACGCCCAAGAGUUCACAUCGACGGCGUGGUUUGGCACCUCGAUGUCGGCUCGUCGCAUCCUGAGGCUGAAGUAGGUCCCAAGGGUUCGGCUGUUCGCCGAUUAAAGCGGUACGCGAGCUGGGUUCAAAACGUCGUGAGACAGUUUGGUCCCUAUCCGCCGUGGGCGCAGGAGACUUGAGAGGAGCUAACCUUAGUACGAGAGGACCGGGUUGGACUGACCUCUAGUGUUCCGGUUGUGGCACCAGCCGCAUCGCCGGGUAGCUACGUCGGGAAUGGAUAACCGCUGAAAGCAUCUAAGCGGGAAGCCAACCUCAAGAUUAGGUCUCCCAGGUCGUAAGACCCUAAAGGCCCCUCGUAGACCACGAGGCAAUAGGCUGGGUGUGGAAGCGCAGUAAUGCGUGAAGCUGACCAGUAUUAAUCGGCCGUGCGGCUUGACC